rnacentral:misc_RNA from 1 species
GAUGAAGAACGUAGCUAAAUGCGAUAAGUAGUGUGAAUUGCAGAAUUCAGUGAAUCAUCGAAUCUUUGAACGCACAUUGCGCCCCUUGGUAUUCCAUGGGGCAUGCCUGUUCGAGCGUCAUUUGUACCUUCAAGCUCUGCUUGGUGUUGGGUGUUUGUCUCGCCUCUGCGUGUAGACUCGCCUCAAAACAAUUGGCAGCCGGCGUAUUGAUUUCGGAGCGCAGUACAUCUCGCGCUUUGCACUCAUAACGACGACGUCCAAAAGUACAUUUUUAUACUCUUGACCUCGGAUCAGGUAGGGAUACCCGCUGAACUUAAGCAUAUCAAUAAGCGGAGGA